rnacentral:rRNA from 1 species
GAUGAACGCUGGCGGCGUGCCUAACACAUGCAAGUCGAGCGAACAGACGAGGAGCUUGCUCCUUCGACGUUAGCGGCGGACGGGUGAGUAACACGUAGGUAACCUACCUAUAAGACUGGGAUAACUUCGGGAAACCGGAGCUAAUACCGGAUAAUAUUUCGAACCGCAUGGUUCGAUAGUGAAAGAUGGCUUUGCUAUCACUUAUAGAUGGACCUGCGCCGUAUUAGCUAGUUGGUAAGGUAACGGCUUACCAAGGCAACGAUACGUAGCCGACCUGAGAGGGUGAUCGGCCACACUGGAACUGAGACACGGUCCAGACUCCUACGGGAGGCAGCAGUAGGGAAUCUUCCGCAAUGGGCGAAAGCCUGACGGAGCAACGCCGCGUGAGUGAUGAAGGUCUUCGGAUCGUAAAACUCUGUUAUUAGGGAAGAACAAACGUGUAAGUAACUGUGCACGUCUUGACGGUACCUAAUCAGAAAGCCACGGCUAACUACGUG